rnacentral:rRNA from 1 species
CCUACGGUGUGCAGCAGUGGGGAAUAUUGGACAAUGGGCGAAAGUCUGAUCCAGCCAUGCCGCGUGUGUGAAGAAGGCCUUCGGGUUGUAAAGCACUUUCAGUGGGGAAGAAAGCCUUGGGGCUAAUACCCUCGAGGAAGGACAUCACCCACAGAAGAAGCACCGGCUAACUCCGUGCCAGCAGCCGCGGUAAUACGGAGGGUGCGAGCGUUAAUCGGAAUUACUGGGCGUAAAGCGCGCGUAGGCGGUCUGAUAAGCCGGUUGUGAAAGCCCCGGGCUCAACCUGGGAACGGCAUCCGGAACUGUCAGGCUAGAGUGCAGGAGAGGAAGGUAGAAUUCCCGGUGUAGCGGUGAAAUGCGUAGAGAUCGGGAGGAAUACCAGUGGCGAAGGCGGCCUUCUGGACUGACACUGACGCUGAGGUGCGAAAGCGUGGGUAGCAAACAGGAUUAGAUACCCCAGUAGUC